GUAUUUCCUCUUUUAAGAAAUUGAGAGCAAGUACCUUUUACCUGGGAAGGGGAAACUCAUCAAAUGCUAUCUGCUCUUGGGACCCAAUCCUGAGUUACUUUAUCAGAUUAACCUGAUCGUCACCAGAACUCCAUUCAAACAGAACACAGGACUGUUAUAUUUGGGUCAGUAAAGGACAAAGAUCUGGUGUCUGGACUGCAGGUGCUGUGGUAUCGUUGGAAGCAAAGAUGGAAAACAAAGCAGGAGAUGAAGGGUUCAUAGAGAUAAACUUCUUCCUAUUUUGCCUGGCCCUUCUGGUCCACAUCACAAGCCUGGAGAAUCUAAAACAAGCUGGGCAAUGAGAAAAUCUAACUCUUCAUGUGUUAUUCCCAAUAAAUCAGUUAUGACAUAA
rnacentral:lncRNA from 1 species